AUCCUGGCGUCAGGAUGAACGCUGGCGGCGUGCCUAACACAUGCAAGUCGAGCGAAGCACUUUGAUUGGAUUCUUCGGAUGAAGAUGAUUGUGACUGAGCGGCGGAUGGGUGAGUAACGCGUGGGCAACCUGCCUUACACAGGGGGAUAACAGUUAGAAAUGACUGCUAAUACCGCAUAAGACCGCGGAACCGCAUGGUUCUGAGGUAAAAACUCCGGUGGUGUAAGAUGGGCCCGCGUCUGAUUAGGUAGUUGGUGAGGUAACGGCUCACCAAGCCGACGAUCAGUAGCCGACCUGAGAGGGUGACCGGCCACAUUGGGACUGAGACACGGCCCAGACUCCUACGGGAGGCAGCAGUGGGGAAUAUUGCACAAUGGGGGAAACCCUGAUGCAGCGACGCCGCGUGAGCGAUGAAGUAUUUCGGUAUGUAAAGCUCUAUCAGCAGGGAAGAAAAUGACGGUACCUAACUAAGAAGCCCCGGCUAACUACGUG
rnacentral:rRNA from 1 species